rnacentral:rRNA from 1 species
UACGGGGGGGGCAAGCGUUGUUCGGAAUUACUGGGCGUAAAGGGCUCGUAGGCGGCCAACUAAGUCAGACGUGAAAUCCCUCGGCUUAACCGGGGAACUGCGUCUGAUACUGGAUGGCUAGAGGUUGGGAGAGGGAUGCGGAAUUCCAGGUGUAGCGGUGAAAUGCGUAGAUAUCGGAAGGAACAUCAGUGGCGAAAGCGACUUCCUGGACCAAUACUGACGCUCAUGUGCGAAAGCGUGGGGAGCAAACAGG